AUCUACAGCCAUACCACCCUGAAAGUGCCCAAUCUUGUCUGAUGUUGGAAGUUAAGCAGGGUCAGGCCUCAUUAGUACUUGGACGGGAGAAAAUAAUUCUACAGUCU
ensembl:rRNA 5S_rRNA 5S ribosomal RNA